GGGUGAAUAAAAAGAAAGAGAGAGAGAGGAGAGAGAGAGAGAGAGAAAGUAACAGGGAAUGGAAAUGUAAUGGAGUAAAUUUACGAGAUAUAAAGAAUUGGUAACACGAAUUUCAGAUUAAAAGUUGUUGAAAUAUUGUUGUUUACGACUCGAGCACGAUGUUUCGCAAACAGAAUAUCGAAUCGUAAUCUGGAUUUAAAAUGGCGGAUUUCUUUGAGGUUUGAUUCGAGUGCUGAUUGUCAGCACGAACUCGAUAAUCACUACGGGCAGAGAAUGAAACGGUUACGUGCAGAAAAACACUAUGUUCCCCUUGCCGUAAUUAUAGCUGUUGGUUGAAGGCGACGAAAGGUGCGAAGUGUCGUUAGAUCGUUACCCGGGAACGCGAGCGACAUCCUUUAACGAACCGAGUCUGUCAUUUGCCGCCACGAAAUUUUCUACUUUCCACUUGUAGACACCUGUGCCAAUUCGAGUGGAAGGACGAAUUAAAAUAAAAUGUGCAAAUAAUUUAUAACCAUUUGUAUCUGAUAAC